rnacentral:rRNA from 1 species
AACGAACGCUGGCGGCGUGGAUAAGACAUGCAAGUCGAACGGGAACUUCAGCUGUAGCAAUACAGUUGAAGUUUUUAGUGGCGAACGGGUGCGUAACACGUGGGCAAUCUGCCGAGAAGUGGGGGAUAGCUCGCCGAAAGGCGAAUUAAUACCGCAUAUGAUCAGCUAAGACAUCUUAGCGACAUCAAAGCCGGGGCAACCUGGCGCUUUUUUGAGGAGCCCGCGGCCUAUCAGCUAGUUGGUGAGGUAACGGCUCACCAAGGCUAUGACGGGUAGCUGGUCUGAGAGGACGACCAGUCACACUGGAACUGAGACACGGUCCAGACACCUACGGGUGGCAGCAGUCGAGUAAUUUUUCUCAAUGGGGCAACCCUGAAGGAGCGACGCCGCGUGGAGG